rnacentral:rRNA from 1 species
AGCACCACAAGGGGUGAAGCCUGCGGUUCAAUUGGAGUCAACGCCGGAAAUCUUACCGGGGGCGACAGCAGAGUGAAGGUCAAGCUGAAGACUUUACCAGACAAGCUGAGAGGAGGUGCAUGGCCGUCGCCAGCUCGUGCCGUGAGGUGUCCUGUUAAGUCAGGUAACGAGCGAGAUCCCUGCCUCUAGUUGCUACCAUUAUUCUCAGGAGUAGUGGAGCUAAUUAGAGGGACCGCCGUCGCUGAGACGGAGGAAGGUGGGGGCUACGGCAGGUCAGUAUGCCCCGAAACCCUCGGGCCACACGCGGGCUGCAAUGGUAAGGACAAUGAGUUUCGAUUCCGAAAGGAGGAGGCAAUCUCUAAACCUUACCACAGUUAUGAUUGAGGGCUGAAACUCGCCCUCAUGAAUAUGGAAUCCCUAGUAACCGCGUGUCACUAUCGCGCGGUGAAUACGUCCCUGCUCCUUGCACACACCGCCCGUAAUCAC